AACGAACGCUGGCGGCAGGCUUAACACAUGCAAGUCGAGCGCCCCGCAAGGGGAGCGGCAGACGGGUGAGUAACGCGUGGGGAUCUGCCUAGUGGUACGGAACAACACGGGGAAACUCGUGCUAAUACCGUAUAAGUCCUUCGGGAGAAAGAUUUAUCGCCAUUAGAUGAAACCGCGUCUGAUUAUCUAGUUGGUGAGGUAACGGCUCACCAAGGCGACGAUCAGUAGCUGGUCUGAGAGGAUGAUCAGCCACACUGGGACUGAGACACGGCCCAGACUCCUACGGGAGGCAGCAGUGGGGAAUAUUGGACAAUGGGCGCAAGCCUGAUCCAGCCAUGCCGCGUGAGUGAUGAAGGCCUUAGGGUUGUAAAGCUCUUUCGCUGGGGAAGAUAAUGACGGUACCCAGAGAAGAAGCCCCGGCUAACUUCGUGCCAGCCGCCGCGGUAA
rnacentral:rRNA from 1 species